UAGCUUGACGGCGGGGUAACGGCCCACCGUGGCAUCGAUCAGUAGGGGUUCUGAGAGGAAGGUCCCCCACAUUGGAACUGAGACACGGUCCAAACUCCUACGGGAGGCAGCAGUGAGGAAUAUUGGUCAAUGGACGAGAGUCUGAACCAGCCAAGUAGCGUGCAGGAUGACGGCCCUAUGGGUUGUAAACUGCUUUUAUAAGGGAAUAAAGUGAGUCUCGUGAGACUUUUUGCAUGUACCUUAUGAAUAAGGACCGGCUAAUUCCGUGCCAGCAGCCGCGGUAAUACGGAAGGUCCGGGCGUUAUCCGGAUUUAUUGGGUUUAAAGGGAGCGUAGGCCGGAGAUUAAGCGUGUUGUGAAAUGUAGACGCUCAACGUCUGCACUGCAGCGCGAACUGGUUUCCUUGAGUACGCACAAAGUGGGCGGAAUUCGUGGUGUAGCGGUGAAAUGCUUAGAUAUCACGAAGAACUCCGAUUGCGAAGGCAGCUCACUGGAGCGCAACUGACGCUGAAGCUCGAAAGUGCGGGUAUCGAACAGGAUUAGAUACCCUGGUAGUCCGCGCGGUAAACGAUGGAUGCCCGCUGUUGGUCUGAAUAGGUCAGCGGCCAAGCGAAAGCAUUAAGCAUCCCACCUGGGGAGUACGCCGGCAACGGUGAAACUCAAAGGAAUUGACGGGGGCCC
rnacentral:rRNA from 1 species